UACGAAGGGGGCUAGCGUUGUUCGGAAUCACUGGGCGUAAAGGGCGCGUAGGCGGCUUUAUAAGUCGGGGGUGAAAGCCUGUGGCUCAACCACAGAACUGCCUUCGAUACUGGAGAGCUUGAGUCCGGGAGAGGUGAGUGGAACUGCGAGUGUAGAGGUGAAAUUCGUAGAUAUUCGCAAGAACACCAGUGGCGAAGGCGGCUCACUGGCCCGGUACUGACGCUGAGGUGCGAAAGCGUGGGGAGCAAACAGG
rnacentral:rRNA from 1 species